rnacentral:rRNA from 1 species
AUAUUGGCCAGAGACCGAUAGCGCACAAGUAGAGUGAUCGAAAGAUGAAAAGCACUUUGGAAAGAGAGUUAAACAGUACGUGAAAUUGUUGAAAGGGAAGCGCUUGCAAUCAGACUUGCACUUGGUGUUCAUCAGGGUCUCGUACCCUGUGUACUUCAUCAAGUUCAGGCCAGCAUCAGUUUGAGUGGUUAGAUAAAGGCUUAGAGAAUGUGGCCCUCUUCGGGGGGUGUUAUAGCUCUAGGUGCAAUGUAGCCUACUUGGACUGAGGACCGCGCUUCGGCUAGGAUGCUGGCGUAAUGGUUGUAAGCGACCCGUCUUGAAACACGGACC